rnacentral:misc_RNA from 1 species
ACAAGAAUGCAAAUGAUCCAGAAGCUGCUGAUAUGUUUAAAGAAGUUACAUUUUCCUAUAAUAUCUUGUCUGAUUCGGACAAACGACGCCAAUAUGACUCAGCUGGUUUUGAGGCUGUUGAAUCAGAAAGUCAAGAAUUGGAGCUAGAUCUUUCAAGCUUGGGCACUGUGAACACUAUGUUUGCAGCACUUUUUAGUAAACUUGGCGUGCCUAUUAAGACCACUGUAUCAGCAACUGUC